rnacentral:rRNA from 1 species
UACGAAGGGGGCUAGCGUUGCUCGGAAUUACUGGGCGUAAAGGGAGCGUAGGCGGAUAUUUAAGUCGGGGGUGAAAGGCCCAGGGCUCAACCCUGGAACUGCCUUCGAUACUGGAUAUCUAGAGUAUGGGAGAGGUGUGUGGAACUCCGAGUGUAGAGGUGAAAUUCGUAGAUAUUCGGAAGAACACUAGUGGCGAAGGCGGCAUCCUGGACCAACACUGACGCUGAGGAGCGAAAGCCAGGGGAGCAAACGGG